GGUGGCAGGCCCACCGAAGUCCGCUGUCGGAAGCCGGCUUCAAACCCCCUCAAGCGGCUGCCGUAAAGAGCGGUGGUCGUGAGCGUUGAGGUCAAAGCGCGAACAAUAGUUCGGCAGGU
rfam:Xenorhabdus vietnamensis strain DSM 22392 Xvie_73, whole genome shotgun sequence.